GUGAGUCAAUUCUCACAAGUUGUAAUAAUACACAAUACCAAUCAUAGAACAUAUGAGAAAGUUGCAACAAGAUAUGUGCUAUAGUAUUUAUGAAUCGGCCGAUUCUUUACGCACGUCACGAGCAAGCGGUAUACGCAUCGCCACACGCAUCGCAACAGCCGCACGCUUGGUGACAAGCGACGACGGGUGUCCGAUCCAACGUCACCCGCGGUUCUUCCUCUGAGGACCACCAAUCGAUUAUACAGAGAAAAACAAUUCACAUGUCGGAUAAGCUCUGCGCAAGUGUAUUGUGAGAAUUACAAGGAUAUGUUAUAUCCCGCGCAAAUGACGGUAUGAUGGAAUUCGUCGUAUCUUUAUUCGACAUUAACCCUCCGAGAACACACUGGGUCAAUUUGACCCUUACCUCAACGUUGAUCAUGAAUAUGUUGAAGGCAUUUUGAGAAUUGGCGGGAUUGACGCCCUCUAAAAUCACGAUUGUUUCUUGUAAAUUACAAUUUUUACAAAAAAAAAUUUUUUUUGAGAAUUUUUUUAGAUAUGUUAAUAAUUAUAAUGACAUUUUUAAUUUAUUUUACGUGAUUUUUCUAUAUCUCAGGUAUAUCUAGAAAUUUUUUUAAGCUAAUCGCACACGUCGUUUUAAAAUGGCGGACCCUCAAAGUUAGCGUAGGGUCAGAUUAACUCUAUGCUUGAAAAAAUAAGUGUGUUCUCGGAGGGUUAAAGAUGCUUACGUGGAAGGUGCGAUGAAUAACGUAUUCAGCAGUUUGAAAACGAUCACCCAAUUCAACAAGGUGAAAUGAUACAAUCACUGUCGGAAUUGAAAAAUAUGCGACUGGACAAGAAACGAGAGCUGGAUGCUGAUUAUGAAAACGUUCAACAAAAAAUUGACACGCUUCUCAAAAACCGUAAAAGAAAAACGAAAACAGAUGUACCAGUAAAAAGCCACAUACAACCGAUCACUCACCAAUGACAUUUGUGGUCGAAGUAUUUCCGCAUAUGACGACGUGGUGAUGGCUGCGGGAAAAGCCGGUCGCGAGAAACGAGCGGAUAUUGCGAAAACUACGAGUUUGUUCUGAUGACUGCGAAGACGUCAGCGGAAGACGAUCGCGUUGCCAAUGAUAUUUGAUUUGAUGAUUGUUUUUCUCUGUAUAAUCGAUCAAUGGUCCUCAGGAAGGGAACUUGGAUCAAACACCCCGUCGUCGCUUGUCGCCAAACGGCUGCUGCGAUGCGUCGUGACGUGCGUAAAGAAUCGUAAAGAGUCAAUUCAUAGAUACUAUUGCACAUAUCUUGUUGCCACUUUCUUAUAUGUUCUAUGAUUGUUCUACGAUUGUGUCGGCAACGCGAUCGUCUUCCACUGACGUCCUCGAAGUCAUCAGAGCACUCGUAAUUUUCGCUAUCGCAACAUCUAUUCAUUUCUCGCGAUCGGCUUUUCCCAACGCCGUAGCCACCACCACGUCAUCAUACGCGGGAACAUUUACUUCGACCACAGAUUGGCGAGUGAUCGGUUCUAUGCGAUCUUUUACCGAUAUAUCUGUUUUCGUGAUUAUGGCGGUCAUUUUUCUAUUUUGAUUACGGUUCUUGAAAAGCGUCGAUUUCUUGUUGAAAGUUUUCAUACUCAGCAUCCAGUCCUCGUAGCUUGUCCGGAUCCAGUCCCACAAUUCUUAAUUCAAACAGCGAUUGUACCAUGGAUUUCACCUUGUUGAAUUGGUUGAUCGUUUUCAAACAAUGAACUGCUGCCGUCAAUACGUCAUUUACCGCACCUUCCACCGAUGAUAUUUACGGAAAAUCCAUCGUGGAUUCCAUUGGAGACUCUAAGAUUGCAACGAAGAUCAAACAUUUUGCCAUCAUAUCGCAACAGCAACGAGCAAAUGUUGCGACAGCGAAAAUUACGAGUGCUCCGAUAACUGUGGAUGAAGACAAUCACGUUGCUAAUGUCUACGAACAAUCUAUCGAAGAUGCUCUGAUGAAGCUGCAAGAUGCUAGAAAUCGUCGCAAAAAGAAUAUUGACAAUGGCGACGAACCAACCAUCAGACAUUUUGCCGUCCUAUCGUAGCAAUCAGCGCGAGACGAUGUGCAAACUUUGCAAACGGCGAGCACUCGCAGCACUUGGAAAUACACGUCCGCAGCUGGCCGUGUUAUUACGUUCGCCGCGAUAAAAUGAAGUGCAUCCGCUAAAAUUCAUCUCGGUCACGCGAGAGAAUGACUAUUGAUCCUUCGCUACCUGACGAAAGUUUCAAGGAUCCGCCAAGCCCACCCGCCUCUCGGCACGUAAUUAAAUUUUCACGAAUUGACCGUUCAUCGAAGCUUCCUUACCAUGGUGUUACGCGGAAUUAUAUCGAAAUGUCGACGACCUGACGUUUCCCGCGUUGCGGAAAAAGAAUGAGCGAACGAGAGAGAAAGAGAGAAAGGGACACGUUCCGAAGACGAUGGAAAUCGAGCACCUACUUUACAUUCGCCAUUCGAAACUGGAUCAGAUACAGGACGAUUUAGAUUUAUUCGGCAUACACAGUAAAGCCUUCUUCCGAGAGAUCUACGUUUACGUGUAUUCCAAAUAUAUCAUGGAUAUUCGUCGAGCGUUAAACGCGCGCUUCUAACAAUUGGAAAUUAUCUUCGGCAUGAGACUAAAAAGAUCGUAAUCCUUUUCGACAUUUUUAACUGCACGCUUAAGGGGAUGCUGAAGUCGAAAUAUUUACCGAUAGAAUGCUGAUCUUUUUCUGCAAAGUUUACGUUGUAUUGGCUGCACAGAAUUACAAAUGCUUUUGCACAAUAAAAAUACGUGCGAAAAUGAAUUAGAGCGUUACUCAAUAUAUGACAAAAACGAUAAAAGAUUUCAAAGUUAACAUUCCCAAUGUAAAUUAGCUUGUCAGUUAAAGUAAAUAUUCGCCUGAUAAAAAAUAUCUGUAACUUGUAUAUAGAGUGUCCAGUAACUUACGGAGAAGCCGCGGUGUACAGGUAGAUUAAAUGAACAAAAAAUUUCCCUACCAUUUUGCGAACAACCACGUAAAAUUUUGAGUUAUUACUCCAAGAAGAUUCGUGAAUCACGUACCAUAUGGUAGAUAAGACGUAAUGACGACUUCUGCCGCUAUAUGCUUGUAUAUUAGAUCAAAUUAAAGGAAAAACUCCCCCUUUAUCAUUUUGCAAAUAAUCAUAUAUACAUGUUCGGUUAUUAAUUAAAAGAAGAUUAGAGUAUAGUCGUGCGCAAUAAUACACCAAUCUUCUUUAAUUAUCAGCUAUUCUGACUUCAAAGAAAAAAUGAAUAAGGUAAAAUUACCGAAUGACGCCACUGACCCAAAUAGCACCUUAAUUUGCUUUAUGCGCAUAAUAAAACACAGUUGAUUAAAUGUUCAAAGAAUUCCCUGAAAGCAAUCGUGAAUAUCAAAUAGCUCAAUCAAAGUAAGUAUAUGAAAAUAUAACAUUAUUUUCUGUGAAGGCAUUUCAAAAGCUCAUAUCAAGAAUCUGUCACCUUUGAUUAUUUACAACUGAGCUUGUUCUUAAGUGUCUAUUACAGUAAUAUAACCUGUAGAAUGAUAAAAAAGAUAUUAGAUGAUAAAAUGAGAUAUUUUGGGGUUGUAAUACAAAACAAAUGUUUUAGUUUUGUAUGAUUAAGAUGAAUUUAACUGAAUUAAAAGACAAUAAAAUAGUAAGAUAUUAUACAAUUAUAUGGUUUUUGUAUAAUAGAGAUGGCGGAUUUAUGUGCACGUAAAAAGCAUCAUGUACACAAAUCUUCCAUAGAUAUAGAAUAACAUUUUAAAACAAAUUAGUAGGAGUUAAGAUGCUUAUUAUUUUGAAUUAAUAAAUAUAUAUUUGAAUAGAUAACAAGUGUAAAAAUUUCAUUUUCUUUACUAUAAUUAUCUAUAUUGAAAACAGAUCAGGUAAAGUGGCGUAAUUCGGGACAUUUGCAGUUCACACUUAAUUCUUGUGUACAUAUAAAUAAUUUUGUUUAUUUCCAACUUUUAAAUGUUUUUUUGCUAAUUUACAAUAUUAAUAUUAGAUAAAAUUCAUUGU